AUGAAGUCGGAAUUGCUAGUAAUCGCGGAUCAGAAUGCCGCGGUGAAUACGUUCCCGGGCCUUGUACACACCGCCCGUCACACCAUGAGAGCCGGUAACACCCGAAGUCAGGAGCCUAACCGCAAGGAGGGCGCUGCCGAAGGUGGGAUUGGUAAUUGGGGUGAAGUCGUAACAAGGUAGC
rnacentral:rRNA from 1 species